rnacentral:tRNA from 1 species
GCAAUGGAUUUAAAUCCCAUAAAUAAAGUUUAUUACACACUUU